rfam:Pteropus alecto contig31201, whole genome shotgun sequence.
GGCUCCAUAGUGUAGUGGUUAGCACCUCUGCUUUACAUGCAGAGGGUCCUGGGUUUGAACCCCAGGUGGAGCCA